rnacentral:rRNA from 1 species
CAAUAGCGUAUAUUAAAGUUGUUGCGGUUAAAAAGCUCGUAGUUGGAUUUCUGUCGAAGACGGUCGGUCCGCUCUAUGAGCGAGUAUCUGAUUCGGCUUUGGCAUCCUCGUGGGGAACGUAACUGUGCUUGAUUGCAUGGUGCGGAAUUCACGACUUUUUACUUUGAGGAAAUUAGAGUGUUCACGGCAGGCAAGCGCCUUUGAAUAUAUUAGCAUGGAAUAAUACUAUAGGAUCUUGGUUCUAUUUUGUUGGUUUCUAGAAUUGAGAUAAUGAUUAAUAGGGACAAUUGGGGGCAUUCGUAUCAACACGUCAGAGGUGGAAUUCUUGGAUUGUGUUGCGACGAACUACUGCGAAAGCAUUUGCCAAGGAUGUUUUUCAUUGAUCAAGAACGAAAGUAAGGGGAUCGAAGAUGAUCAGAU